rnacentral:rRNA from 1 species
GGGGCUGGAGCUACCUGCAGUCGAGCGGUAGCACAGAGGAGCUUGGUCUCGUGUGAGGAGAGGGGGACGGGUGAGUAAUGUGUGUGAAACUGUCUGAUGGAGGGGGAUAACUACUGUGAACGGUAGCUAUUACCGCAUAUAGUCGCAAGACCAAAGUGGGGGACCUUCUCGCCUCUUGCCAUCUCAUGUGCCCCGAUGUGAUUAUAUAUUAGGUGGGGUAACGGCUCACCUAUACGACAAUCCCUAUAUGUGCUGAGAGGAUGACCACCCACACUGUAACUGAGACACGCUCCACACUCCUACGCGAGGCAGCAGUGGGGAAUAUUGUGCAAUGUGCGCAAGCCUGAUGCAGCCAUGUCGCGUGUGUGAAAAAAGCCUUCUCGUUGUAAAGAACUUUCAGCGCGGAGGAAGGCGAUAAGGUUAAUAACCUCGUCGAUUGACGUUACCCGCACAAAAAACACCGCGUAACUCCGUGCCAGCAGCCGCGCUAAUACGCAGGGUGCGAGCGUUAAUCGCAAUUACUGUGCGUAAAGCGCACGCAGGCGGUCUGUCAAGUCGCAUGUGAAAUCCCCGCGCUCAACCUGUGAACUGUGUUCUAAACUGUGAGGCUAUAGUCUUGUAUAGAGGGGUAGAAUUCCAGGUGUAGCGCUGAGAUGCGUAUAGAUCUGUAGGAAUACCGCUGUGGAAGGCGGCCCCCUGUACAAAGACUGACGCUCUCGUGCGAAAGCGUGUGGAGCAAACAGGAUUAUAUACCCUGUGAGACCACGCCGCAAACGAUGUCGAUAUGUAGGUUGUGCCCUUGAGACGUGGGUUCCGCAGAUAUCGCGUUAAAUCGACCGCCUGUGGAGUACGCCCGCAAGGUUAAAACUCUCAUGAAUUGACGGGGGCCCCCACAAGCGCUGGAGCAUGUGGGUUAAUUCUAUGCAACGCGAAGAACCUUACCUGGGCUUGACAUCCCCAGAACUUUUCAGAGAUGAUUUGUUGCCUUCUGCAACUGUGAAACAGUGCUGCAUGGCUGUCGUCACCUCCUGUUGUGAAAAGUUGGGUUAAUUCCGCCACCC